CAGAAGACGAAACAUCUGUGGGACAGAUAAAGGUGCAAGCCUGUGUGAAUCUCUGCUGAGGCCUCAUCUGUAAAACACACCGUGUGCCACUCGUCUGACACCAGUUGAACCUGAUGAAGUCGGUAACUUCCAGCUUCAGGCUUGCCCAGAACUUCCGUGAGAAGAUGUUUGUCCAAUCUAAAACAACGGCAAUGUGACAACAUGCAAGAAAGGAAUGAAAUGUGGCCUGGCUGUAGUUGGCUCUGUACUGCAUUCACUCUGCACCGUUUGGAAAGCCUUAUAAUGCAACAGGAUAUCUGAAUGUCUCACCGUCAGGUCCACGUGCAAAGACUGCCAAAUGGAGUUUCACUCUUGUGGCCCAGGUUUGGAGCACCAUGGCAGGAUCUUGGCUCACUGCAACCUCUGCCUCCUGGGUUCAAGCGAUUCUCCUGCCUCAGCCUCCUGAGUAACUGGGAUUACAGGCAUGUACCACCACGCCCGGCUAAUUUUCUGUAUUUUUAGUAGAGACAGGGUUUCUCCAUGUUGGUCAGGCUAGUCUCGAACUCCCCACCUCAGCUUAUCCACCCACCUCGGCCUCCCAGAGUGCUGGGAUUACAGGCAUGAGCCACUGCACCCGGCCUGUAUUACUGUUUAUUUCAAUAAUUCACUUCCUGCUCCCCAUCCUAUAAGCUCCAUGAGGACACUGAAGGUUGUUUUCUUAGUGCUUAAAACUGUGUCUGCACACAGUAUUUAAUGAUUUGUUUAACGCAUCCAUACGUAGAUUAAUAAUUCAUUAAAGUAAGUACUAAACAAAGUAUAAAUUUUCUUAAAAUUUCUGCUCUUAUGGAUUUAAUGGAAUGAAUAUGAAAAACAGAUAUUAAUAAAGAUAUUAAUAUUCUAGUUAAAAUAGAAACUGCUAGGCAUGAAUCAGUGCAAUUCUAUUAAUACUAUUUCAGAGAAAUAAAGAAUAAUGUUGUCAAGGGGAUGGGGCAUGGCAGAGAUCUAUGUCAAAUUACCUCACAACAAAAAUGCCUAAAGAGAUUUUGAAAAAUUUCUAUAUAUCAUUCAGAUAAUGAAGUGACUAGAGAUUUGCCCAUUUAUUUUUUAGGCAGUGCUUAGAAUACUUCUUUAAAAUCAUCAGUAUGUCUAAACAACUGUUACGUAUUCUGUUUUAAUCAAUUACAGUUUUAUUUCACCAGAAAAAAAAUCCUGUGGUAAUAUUUAAACUUGAAAUGGGCCCAGGAGAAAAUUACCAAUACCUUAUUACUUUUUGUUUCAUAUUUUGUAUUUGAGGGAAGUUCUACUUUAGAAACUCUUUUUUCCUCCAAUGAGAAAAGCAAGGUGUACUGGCAAAAACAUCAGUCUUCCCUUGAUGCUGGUAUAAAGAAACUCUUGAUUUUUUGAAAAGGUUCUUCCAUGGUAUUGGGGAAAAAUGAUAUAAAAGAAUGUGCAAUGACAUCAUUGCACAAAAAUAUUAAUACCAUAUAUUAGCAAUAUAACCUGUUUAAUGCAUUUCUGAUUUGUAAAAUGUCUCAGAAAACAAAAGAUCAAAUGUUGUAAGCCUUGAUUUCCUUAUGAUUAAACUUCUCAAAACAGUUUCAGUGAAAAAUAGAAUAUUCAAACUCAUGAGCAGAGAUAAAUCAUUCUCACAGGGUUUCCUCUCCAGCCCAGCACUCUCCUUUCUGACUUUCCCCAUUAUUUACUGGCAGAUAUAACAGUAUAAAUACUAGACAAGCCCAUUCCAGGGAUAUUUCUGCUAAGCCCUUGAACACUUACACCAUAACUAUAAGAGGCAAAUAAUGUUAGAACACACAACUAUCCCACAAAUAUCCCAAAUAUGAUAUUAAAGUAUAAGGCAACAGGUAGGUAAAUUAUUUUGUAUGAUUAAUAACAGUUACAUUAUGUAGUUACACUGAACAUGAAUAUUUUAUAAACACAUUAAAAUAAUAGCAAGAUAUGAAAAACUCUUUCAAAUUCAAUAAGUCAAUCAUUGCAUCACCCAUGCCCCUAAAACUAUAGCUUUGUUUCUAAUGCUUCUGAAGAUUAUUAGUAAUUCAAACACAUUACUACAAAUUUUAUACCAGGAAGCCCAUCAUAUUUAAUCUGAUACAGGUUUAGAAAUAAUCCUACUUAUAUUUUCUUGUUCCCACUUCAUUUUUUGUUUCUCUAAAUUCCUCAAAAAAGAAUCAUAAAAAGGAAAUAAAAGAAGAUAUAUUCAAAUAUGUCAUUUGUAUGUCGACAUCUUCAUGUGUGCCUGUAUUUCCUGCUAUAAGUAUCUCAAGAGUAAGGACCAUUGCUUCAGUUUGAAUGGGUUUCAUAAAGGUUCAUCCAUGGAAAUGGGGAAAAAUGACAAAAUUUCUGUGGUGAUUUCUUACUAAUGGGCAUUCUAAAUGGUUAAAUCAAGUAUGCAGCACUAUAUUAUACAGAAACAUGUUAGGUUUGGGCAUCUAAGUUAUGAAUCUGACCCAAUGUGAAAUAAACAUCCUUGUCACCUCACGGAAGCAGGUGAACACUAGCCAUUCACUUCUUAAGCGUUCUAUUGUGAAUAUUUCAGGAUAGGACAUGGGUUUGAUAUUUUCUUUAAUAAGCUUCCUCUCUGUCCCCUUAGACAACUGAGGGCAGGUAAAAUAUUUUCAAAAUCUGGAGAAUACCCAAUGUGCAUAUGCCAACUUGAUUAAACAUAUGGAAUACAUACUUGGAGAAAAGCCAACUGGCGACCUGCUUGAGUCAUCUAAACACCCAAGCUGAGAGAGGUUAACAUAUAAAGAUCAGCUUUGGACUUUGAAGUUUUCUGGUCUUCAUUUUGCCUAAUUAAGACAAGAUUUAAUAAUCAAACCACUGUACAAACAUGUACCUAAAAGUAUAGGUUUGUUUCUAAUUUUGGGAAGAAUUCUUAACAGAUUCAAAGGAAUCAGCUCCACAUGGGAAAAGGCCUCUGAUAAGAUUUGCUUUUCUCAUUGCUAAAAUGCAAAUGCCUGCUUUUCAUCUGAGUUUUAUCCAGUGUGACUGAGGUUAGCAUUCGCCUGUCAAAAUCUCGAGUUUGAUACUGAAAAGGAAAGAUUCUGAUAUUAGCACACCAUCUGAAUCUGAAACAGUGGCAAUUAGUUAAUAAAAAACUGUAUUCCAAAAUAUUCUUAAAGGUAUUCAUAGAAACCAUUUGUAGAUCACAAUUUCAAAGGGAGUAAUUUACCUACUUUACCACAGUAGAAUAUAUACACAUCCAUGUGUUUCUAGGAAAUAGAACCAAGCAUAGCAGAAAAGUCUACCUACUA